GACAGUUCGGUCCCUAUCUGCCGUGGGCGCUGGAGAAUUGAGGGGGGCUGCUCCUAGUACGAGAGGACCGGAGUGGACGCAUCACUGGUGUUCGGGUUGUCAUGCCAAUGGCACUGCCCGGUAGCUAAAUGCGGAAAAGAUAAGUGCUGAAAGCAUCUAAGCACGAAACUUGCCCCGAGAUGAGUUCUCCCUGAGACUUUAAGUCUCCUGAAGGAACGUUAAAGACGAUGACGUUGAUAGGUCGGGUGUGUAAGCGCAGCGAUGCGUUGAGCUAACCGAUACUAAUGAACCGUGAGGCUUAACCUUACAACGCCGAAGCUGUU
rnacentral:rRNA from 1 species